GGNUUCCGUAGGUGAACCUGCGGAAGGAUCAUUG
rnacentral:rRNA from 1 species